CUUUCCAAAAACUAAACCCUCCAAUUAUCCGGACUCCUAUAUAAAGAACUCCUUGUCCAAUUAAUACCAGACUUCCAGGUAAAAAUAUUUCCCUGACUAUACACAAAACAUUUUUGGUGGAGUGACUGGGGGCGGGGGGGAAGUAGAGAUCAAAUCUGAAAAUCAGAGAACUAGUCACAACUUUAAUAUGAAGUCAAAUCACUGUAAGUUGAUCAAAUAUGGGAGUAAGCAUUGAUUCAAAAAUCAGUUUUAAUCUGAGGUUUCACUUUGUUGACGUUGAAACAAAGCUAAUUUUUAUUUCUUUCCCUCCAUCCACCUUACUCUCCACCAAUUAAUUUACUGGCUCUCUAAAAAAGCUUCUCACUUCAAGUUUGUUUGCAAAAAUGGGACUAUUAUAUCAAAUAAAAGGAAUAUGCCAUUAUUACAACUGACUAAAUGGAGGACAAGCAGGGUAUAAUUUAUCUCAAAUUGAUUUAAUUUUACAUCCCUUGAAGUAUCCUUUUAUAUUCAGAUAAUUAAAAUCAAUUUCCUGGAUAUCAUUUGAGGGAGUUUAACUUCAUUCCAUUAAAUAAGUCAAGAUCAGUCAUUUUUCUAAAUAGCUUUAGAUGACAUUUUAUUACACUCUGGUCUCUUGGUGGAACAGCUCUUUGAUAGUGUUUGUAACAAGUUUCUCAUUUUCACUCAUUCAAUUUAAUUUAGACAAUUCAUUUGCACUGUCUUUAAAUGAAUACUUUAUCUAAAUGUAGCCCAUCAAAUUAUUCUGUUCCCAAAUCUCUAUUUUGAUUGUGCUGCAAAUUUAAUUCAAUCCUCCUCUCUGGAAAGAAUCUACUCUUUUCUGAAAUUGACAGAGGAAAUAUUAACACUAAGUUAUCUCAUUUUAAUGUUUUUUGGCAGAUUCUUCCCAAAAUUGCAAGGUCUUCUUUCCCUUUUUCCUUCUUAAAGGAUGCAUUCUAAGAACCUAUCAAGACUAGGAAAAUGAGGUAUGCCAUUUGCUGAUGUGAUGCACUUUUAGUUCUUCAGCUGUGGGUUAUAUUGCAGAUAGACUAUGAAACUGUAUUUUAACCUGAUCUCCAUUUUUACUUAAGAUCUUUCAAAGUCUGUUAGAAGUUGUCUAGAUUUUUUGAAACUGUGGCAGGACUCCUCUGAGCCUUCAAGAAAAAACCCCUGCAAUACUGCUGAAAUUCUGUUGACUCAUGAAACCAGACACUGCAUGAGGAGGAGGAGCAUAACCCUGACUGAUCCCAAUUUAAAAAUAAGGAAGAAUGAGUAUAACUUAAAACUUGGAAACAUGACUUUAUUUGCCUUCUCUAAAAGAUUAACAGUCCUUUUGGUAAAGUUGGCAUUAGAGUGAAGAAUGAACAGAAAAGUUAUAAAUACAUGAAAUAACUCAAUCUAGUCUUAAUUAACACCAUGAAAGUAAUUACUCUUGUGGUCUGAGUGAUGUUUUGUGAUUGAGGAGCUGGGAUGGAAAGGUGGCAAAGCACUUUCCUAGGAACACAGAUAUUGCCAUACGGAAUCAGACCAAUGAUCUGUGUAAUCCAGAUCCUGUCUCCACAAGUGGCCAGUACUAGCAGUCUACACCAGUCAGAAUAACCUGGAAUAAUAUGGAAUAACCACAGGGGAAGUGUCUUCAUAUCCCCCUGAUAAUUAAAGGCUGACUUAUGCCUGAAGCAUUAGGAUUAUGUCCCACUCUAAACUUCUUGGUGUCUUUUUUUUUUUUAAAUAAAUAUAGCCUUACUAUUGCAGCUCUGGACGGUCUUAUUAGCCAUAUAAAUCUCUAGCUGUUUCUGGAACCCUGCUAAGCUUUUGGCCUCAAUGAUACCUUAUGACAGUGAGUCCACAAGCUAAUUGUUCACUGCGAGAAGUAUUUCCUCCUAUCAGUUUUAAAUUUGCUACCUUUCAGUUUCACUAAAUGUCCCCAACUCAGUCUGACUCUGCUUAGGCUUCUGGAAAGAUCUCGUUCAAACCAGGUAUGCUCAAAGUCUUACCACAGAGUCACUCCCAUGCUCAAAUUUCAUAACUUCAUUUGCACGGCCACUUUGUCUAAUCCUAGCAACUUGAUAUAUAUCCUUACAGUCUGCCUGCUCCAUGUUUCAACAUCACAUAGUCUUUGCAAAGAGUGUUAUUGGUUUGAAAGAAAAGUUCCAGCCCUGCAACUUUACAUGAACUGAAAUGAAUUUCAUAUGUGAUUAUGUCAAUAAAGGAAGCAGAUAUAACAGUUCUAAA